rnacentral:rRNA from 1 species
UACGGGGGGAGCAAGCGUUGUUCGGAUUUACUGGGCGUAAAGGGCGCGUAGGCGGCCAGCACAAGUCAGUUGUGAAAUCUCCGAGCUUAACUCGGAAAGGUCAACUGAUACUGUGCGGCUAGAGUGCGGAAGGGGCAACUGGAAUUCUUGGUGUAGCGGUGAAAUGCGUAGAUAUCAAGAGGAACACCUGCGGCGAAGGCGGGUUGCUGGUCCGGUUCUGACGCUGAGGCGCGAAAGCGUGGGGAGCAAACAGG